GGUAGACGCUACGGAAUAAAAUCCGUUGGCUUUUUAGACCGUGAGGGUUCAAGUCCCUCUACCCCCA
rnacentral:tRNA from 1 species